rnacentral:rRNA from 1 species
CCUCUGGGUCCAACCUCCCACCCGUGUUUAUCGUACCUUGUUGCUUCGGCGGGCCCGCCUCACGGCCGCCGGGGGGCAUCCGCCCCCGGGCCCGCGCCCGCCGAAGACACACAAACGAACUCUUGUCUGAAGAUUGCAGUCUGAGUACUUGACUAAAUCAGUUAAAACUUUCAACAACGGAUCUCUUGGUUCCGGCAUCGAUGAAGAACGCAGCGAAAUGCGAUAAGUAAUGUGAAUUGCAGAAUUCAGUGAAUCAUCGAGUCUUUGAACGCACAUUGCGCCCCCUGGUAUUCCGGGGGGCAUGCCUGUCCGAGCGUCAUUGCUGCCCUCAAGCACGGCUUGUGUGUUGGGCUCUCGCCCCCCGCUUCCGGGGGGCGGGCCCGAAAGGCAGCGGCGGCACCGCGUCCGGUCCUCGAGCGUAUGGGGCUUCGUCACCCGCUCUGUAGGCCCGGCCGGCGCCCGCCGGCGAACACCAUCAAUCUUAACCAGGUUGACCUCGGAUCAG